rnacentral:rRNA from 1 species
GAUGAACGCUGGCGGCGUGCCUAAUACAUGCAAGUCGAGCGAACAGAUGAGGAGCUUGCUCCUCUGACGUUAGCGGCGGACGGGUGAGUAACACGUGGAUAACCUACCUAUAAGACUGGGAUAACUUCGGGAAACCGGAGCUAAUACCGGAUAAUAUAUUGAACCGCAUGGUUCAAUAGUGAAAGACGGUUUUGCUGUCACUUAUAGAUGGAUCCGCGCCGCAUUAGCUAGUUGGUAAGGUAACGGCUUACCAAGGCAACGAUGCAUAGCCGACCUGAGAGGGUGAUCGGCCACACUGGAACUGAGACACGGUCCAGACUCCUACGGGAGGCAGCAGUAGGGAAUCUUCCGCAAUGGGCGAAAGCCUGACGGAGCAACGCCGCGUGAGUGAUGAAGGUCUUCGGAUCGUAAAACUCUGUUAUUAGGGAAGAACAAAUGUGUAAGUAACUAUGCACGUCUUGACGGUACCUAAUCAGAAAGCCACGGCUAACUACGUG